UACGUAGGUGACCAGCGUUGUCCGGAUUUACUGGGUGUAAAGAGCGCGCAGGCGGUCGUUCAAGUCGAGUGUGAAAGCCCCCGGCUCGACUGGGGAGGGUCAUUCGAUACUGAUCGACUCGAAGGCAGGAGAGGGAAGCGGAAUUCCCGGUGUAGUGGUGAAAUGCGUAGAUAUCGGGAGGAACACCAGUGGCGAAGGCGGCUUCCUGGCCUGUUUUUGACGCUGAGGCGCGAAAGCUAGGGGAGCAAACGGG
rnacentral:rRNA from 1 species